rnacentral:tRNA from 1 species
UUAAUUGAAGUCAAAAAGAGACUUAUCACUGUUAAUGAUAAAAUUGAUUAAGUAUCCAAUUAAA